rnacentral:snoRNA from 1 species
CGGCUACGAUUAAUUGGUUAUCUGCGCUUCUGAGAUUUAUGAUACUUGAAGUAUGAACUUGAAUAAUGGUUGAAUUUCUUGAUAUUGAGUUG